rnacentral:lncRNA from 1 species
GAAACAUUCAUUUUUCUGUUGCAAUAUUUCUCAAAACUCUUCCCUUACAGGAAACUCUAAAGGAGCAAGCCUCUCCUGCUGGGCCAGAGGGGCCGGACUGGAUUGGAACUCAGAGCUAACUCCAAAGACCUCAGACUCUCAGCUCUAUAAAGCUGCUUCUCCAACUGGAAGUCAAGAUUCCCCCAGGAAGCAGCAAAGAAUAAAUGUCCAUUUCACACUGAGGUGGCAAGGCCCAUUAGAGUCUACCAGUGAAGAAAUCAUUUUCUAAGGGUGAUUACACACGCAGAUGUCAAAACCCUCAGGUAACUCUCUGCUCUCCUACCUUGGCUGGAUAGUGCCCUGAACUUCUGUCAUUCUCAGAAGAUUCUCCCCUUCCCACCCUUCUCUGGAGUCUACCAUCUCGACUACCUUCAGCCCCUGCCCUAGAUUAUUCUGCAUGGGGCUGUGGAUCCCUCAAUAACAACAAUAUCCAAGAAUUCCACACUUCUCUAAGGUUUUCUGCAUUCAAGGGAUGCAAUAAAGUACAAAAAAGAUGAUUUUUUUUUUUUUUUUUGCC